rnacentral:rRNA from 1 species
CCCUUAGAUGUUCUGGGCCGCACGCGCGCUACACUGAUGCAUUCAACGAGCACUAACCUGUGCCGAAAGGUUCGGGUAAUCUUGUGAAAUUUCAUCGUGAUGGGGAUUGAUUAUUGCAAUUUUUAAUCAUAAACGAGGAAUGCCUAGUAAGCGUGAGUCAUCAGCUCACGUUGAUUACGUCCCUGCUCUUUGUACACACCGCCCGUCGCUCCUACCGAUUGAAUGUGCCAGUGAAAAGUUAGGAUUGGGCGUGGGAGACGGCAACGUAUUCCACAUCCGAGAAAAUCUUUAAACUUUCCCAUUUAGAGGAAGGAGAAGUCGUAACA